rnacentral:lncRNA from 1 species
UGGCUGACCUUGUUUGUAGGUGACCUGGGGUGGACGUGGUGUCCCGGAAACCCCGCUUCCUUGCCUGGGGAGAGCAGAACCUCCUGGGCCAGGCAGAGUCUCCUGGAAUCCUGGGGAAAUGCUGGGUAAGAACAGGAGGAGCUUGGAGCAUCUCAUGGAAACAAGUGCCACCUCCCUCCAGAAUGCCGCACUUGCUCCUGUUCCUCGGAGAAAGGAGGAGUUGCUGCAAGCACAUAGGAUGGGAUUUGCCGCGUCUUCCUGAGCUCGGCCUCCCGGGGAAGCGUGCGGCAGGCGGGCGAGCCGACCCCGCUUUCCUUUCUGGGUGAGACCUGUUUCGUGGCCACAAAGGUCCCACUGACUUCCCUGUGUCCAGCUCUGGAAAGGCUCGGGGCCUCUGUGCCAGGAGCAGGGAAGAGGGCCCCUCGCCAGGUGGGUACUUAAAAUCUGAGGCUGAGCUGGAGGGAGAGGGCAGAGCUGGGGUCAGGGAGGGAGCAGGCAGAGCCACGCCGAGGUAGCGGCGGAAAUGCAGGUGCUGGUGGGAACCAAGAGGAUGGGGCCUCCCCAUCUCAGUUUGUGUGAAGCCCAUCCACAGUGGCAGAGAGGACCGCAGCGAGGGGGCCGGGAGGAUGAGCGGGAGGACCGCAGCGAGGGGGCCGGGAGGAUGAGCGGGAGGACCUCAGCGAGGGGGCCGGGAGGAUGAGCGGGGGCCUCCAUUCCACCUUCAAAGACUCUGGGGUGCAGGCGUCCAGCCAGGACCUCUGAGAGGCGCCCAGAACAUGGGGACGGAGGCAGGAGGCUGUGAGGAGAGAGGGGCCUUGGCCACCUCUGCUGUCCCUACUGCAGGCCAGCGUCCGGCCGGCUCCAGGCCUGGACUCCCAGAAUUCAAAGGUGCCCCCGCUCAGGCAGCCCUGCCCCCACCGCCCACUCAGGCCAGGGCCAGAGGGGUGUCAAGAUCACCUGAAAAGGCAGCCCCUGAGGGUGACCAGAGCCCCGAGCCCCAGCGGGGACAAAUGAGGAGCUUAACUAGCACAAGGCCGCAUAAAAGGGAACGGGAGAGGAGGGACAAAGCCUCACCCAUGUGCUCUUUUGGGCUUUGUGCGCACUGGCCCCUUUCCCAGUAUAUCAGGCUCCCAGUGAAUGGAGGCCCGCGCCGCGCAGUCCUUCCGCAGCCCUGACGGUUUCACGAGCCGGUGAAUGGAGUGCAAAUUAGCAGGGUCCCCGGGAGCCUUGUUACUGUCACUCCCAAACUGACGGCCCAAAGACGACGCGAGGAUUAAUCCACCCGGAGAACUCGCCCAUUAUCCAGGCAAGGUAGGAAGCUAUUUAUUGUCCCCUCUUUCAUGUCUCCUCCAUGUUGCCCACUGCAGCGAGCCUUUACAGCAGAAUGGAGCAGCCGCGGAUACACACCCGCUCCCACCCACACACUCACGCCGGGCCCAGGCCGCCAGGCGUGGAUGCACGCGCACGCACACGCAUGCACACGUGCACACGCAUGGACACGCUCGUGCUGCAAGGCCAUGGGCCACCGUGUGCUGUUCCGUGCACAUUUAUUCUCCUCUGAGGACCCAGGCCGGCUUGUCCGUGAAGUGCCAACAUUAGGGGCUGUGCAGGGCAGGGUGAGCGAGCACUGACCACCAGCGCCGGCCCCCACUGCUGCGGCCAGUGGGCUGGACGACCAAGGACGAGGCCGGGGCCUUGAGACAAAAGUCCCAGCAAUGAGGCAGGGACCUCACAGCAGAGGGAGCUGGACCCAACCUGUUUUCAAGACACGAAUCUGCUGCAGCCCCCGACGGGCCCCAAGAGACUCUGCCUUGAGUCUUUUCUUAGGAGUCCACCCACGGCCGCAUCUCCAGCUAGAUCAAGCCCACGGCUUUUCACACUGCUGGACCAGACACCACGAGAGAUGUUCGGUCAACACUGUGCAUAUCUCAACUUUCAGGUGGACACUGCUGCCCGGAAAUGACUUUCACUUAUUUUCAAUCGGUCUACUUAGAAAAAGAAAAUCGGCAUUGGCUACGCUGUGACCAAGACAGCUUAGGGAAGAAGGGCAGGGUGGCUGCUGACCGCAGGCUCUCAACAGACCUGUGUACAAUGGGUGGGCAAGCAAGUGUCCAUGAGUGCAGAGACAGACAAGCAGAUGUCUAAUGAAGGAGGAGACAACCAGCAUCGAACAAAUGACCAAGAAAUAGAUGCCUAGUGGGUGAAUUGAUCAGCAAAUGUAUACACGUGUGCAUAAACAAAUCAAUAUCUAAUAUCUAAACUAAUAAAUGUAUGAACAAAUACAUGCCUAAUGAGUGAAUAGACAAAUAUCUCAUGAAUGCGUGGACAAAUCGAUAUCUAAUGAAUGGACAAACAAAUGCAUAUCUAUGAAUGGAUGAACAAAUACAUAUCGAAUAAAUAAAUGAAUAAAUACCUAAUAGAUAUAUGAACAGAUAUAUCUCUAAUGAGUGAAUAAACAAAUAUCUCAUGAAUACGUGGACAAAGCGAUAUCUAACGAAUGAAUGAACAAAUGCAUAUCUAUGAA